AAAGUCGUAACAAGGUUUCCGUAGGUGAACCUGCGGAAGGAUCAUUACUGAACGCUUGAGGAUGUUGCUGGCCUUGAGUGGGCAUGUGCACUCCUUGAACAUUCCAACCUCACACCUGUGCACCUUUUGUAGGCUUGGCAUAAACACAAUGUCGGGCCUAUGUAUUUUUACCUCACACACACCAUUUGAAUGUCAUUUGAAUGUCUCGUUAUCGAUGAUAAAUAAUAUACAACUUUCAACAAUGGAUCUCUUGGCUCUC
rnacentral:misc_RNA from 1 species